rnacentral:rRNA from 1 species
AACCCCGGAGAGGGGAGUGAAAUAGAACCUGAAACCGUAUGCGUACAAGCAGUGGGAGCCUACUUUGUUAGGUGACUGCGUACCUUUUGUAUAAUGGGUCAGCGACUUAUUUUCAGUGGCGAGCUUAACCGAAUAGGGGAGGCGUAGCGAAAGCGAGUCUUAAUAGGGCGUCUAGUCGCUGGGAAUAGACCCGAAACCGGGCGAUCUAUCCAUGGGCAGGUUGAAGGUUAGGUAACACUGACUGGAGGACCGAACCGACUACCGUUGAAAAGUUAGCGGAUGACCUGUGGAUCGGAGUGAAAGGCUAAUCAAGCUCGGAGAUAGCUGGUUCUCCUCGAAAGCUAUUUAGGUAGCGCCUCGUGUAUCACUGCUGGGGGUAGAGCACUGUUUCGGCUAGGGGGUCAUCCCGACUUACCAAACCGAUGCAAACUCCGAAUACCAGCAAGUGUCAGCACGGGAGACACACGGCGGGUGCUAACGUCCGUCGUGAAAAGGGAAACAACCCAGACCGUCAGCUAAGGUCCCAAAGUCAUGGUUAAGUGGGAAACGAUGUGGGAAGGCUUAGACAGCUAGGAGGUUGGCUUAGAAGCAGCCAUCCUUUAAAGAAAGCGUAAUAGCUCACUAGUCGAGUCGGCCUGCGCGGAAGAUGUAACGGGGCUCAAACCAUGCACCGAAGCUACGGGUU